GGCGAUUCCCGGGUGAUGCGCCCCAGAUUGGACUCCCUCCUCUCUCAUUCUGAGUGCAUCGCCCGAGAACUGCA
rfam:Myotis brandtii contig171730, whole genome shotgun sequence.